AAACUUCACACUGGGGGGAACCCCGAUGAGGGAAAUCCUAGUGCUAGGACAUUUGUUCUAGCUUUUCUCAAGCGUAGAUAACUUGAGGAAUAAGGGCUGGGUAAGACGGGUGCCAGCCGCCGCGGUAAUACCUGCAGCCCAAGUGGUGGUCGAUUUUAUUGAGUCUAAAACGUUCGUAGCCGGUUUGGUAAAUCUUUGGGUAAAUCGGGAGGCUCAACUUUCCGACUUCCGAAGAGACUGCCAAACUUGGGACCGGGAGAGGCUAGAGGUACUUCUGGGGUAGGGGUAAAAUCCUGUAAUCCUAGAAGGACCACCGGUGGCGAAGGCGUCUAGCUAGAACGGAUCCGACGGUGAGGGACGAAGCCCUGGGUCGCAAACGGGAUUAGAUACCCGGUAGUCCAGGGUGUAAACGCUGCAGACUUGGUGUUGGAGGCAAUUCGGUUGCAUUCAGUGCCGGAGAGGAGUUGUUAAGUCUGCUACUUGGGGAGUACGUCCGCAAGGAUGAAACUUAAAGGAAUU
rnacentral:rRNA from 1 species